GAAUCGGUUACGUGUAAACCGGACUGAAUCGGUCAAGUUAUAUAUUGGGUUUGCUUGCCCUACUGCUAUCAAUUGGUAAAUCUUACUCCUUAAUUAUAAAUAGAAUUUUAACCCUACCAGUUACCAGUUACAACGUAGGUCCGGUGACGAGGAAGUCAGGAUCCACCGCGACGGGGGCUAAUACGACGACCACCACCCUUUGUGAACACAAACGAUAGACGGCCUAGCUAUUGGGUCCAACGGUUCUUUGCAGAGUCAAGUGGAGCAACUCUUCUCACUUCAACACUUCUUCUCUUGUGGCAUCCGCAAUAUCCUGGGAAAACAAUGGCUUAAAGCCUUAAAGGUUGUUGGUUUAUUUGGAUGUGGUGAUUAUGGAUAUGGAGUCUUGGA